rnacentral:rRNA from 1 species
GUCGUCAGGACGAACGCUGGCGGCGUGCCUAACACAUGCAAGUCGAACGAAGCAUUUGGAGUUGAUCUCUUCGGAGUGACGCACCUUAUGACUUAGUGGCGGACGGGUGAGUAACACGUGAGCAACCUGCCUCUCAGAGUGGAAUAACAGUUGGAAACGGCUGCUAAUACCACAUAACGUUUUUGUGCCGCAUGACACUUCAACCAAAGAUUUAUCGCUGAGAGAUGGGCUCGCGUCCGAUUAGGUAGAUGGUGGGGUAACGGCCUACCAUGCCGACGAUCGGUAGCCGGACUGAGAGGUUGAUCGGCCACAUUGGGACUGAGACACGGCCCAGACUCCUACGGGAGGCAGCAGUGGGGGAUAUUGCACAAUGGGCGCAAGCCUGAUGCAGCAACGCCGCGUGCGGGAAGACGGCCUUCGGGUUGUAAACCGCUGUCCUUGGGGAAGAAACAAAUGACGGUACCCAAGAAGGAAGCCACGGCUAACUACGUGCCAGCCGCUGC